rnacentral:rRNA from 1 species
UAUUGCACAAUGGAGGAAACUCUGAUGCAGCGACGCCGCGUGAACGAUGAAGGCCUUCGGGUCGUAAAGUUCUGUCCUAGGGGACGAUAAUGACGGUACCCUAGGAGGAAGCCCCUGCUAACUACGUUCCAGCAGCCGCGGUAAUACGUAGGGGGCAAGCGUUGCCCGGAUUUAUUGGGCGUAAAGGGUGCGUAGGCGGCCUUUUAAGUCAGAUGUGAAAAGUCACGGCUCAACCGUGGUAAGCAUUUGAAACUGAAAGGCUUGAGCUAAGGAGAGGAAAGUGGAAUUCCUAGUGUAGCGGUGAAAUGCGUAGGUAUUAGGAGGAAUACCAGUGGCGAAGGCGACUUUCUGGACUUAUACUGACGCUGAGGCACGAAAGCGUGGGGAGCGAACAGG